rnacentral:lncRNA from 1 species
AAUCAUUCGUUUAAUUGAUGAUAAUCAUGUAGCUCAUAUUAUAGAAUAAUUAGUGUCCAAACCAACACUCUUAUCUAUUUAUCUAUUUUUUAUAAUCUGAUAAAAAUAGUAUUUCUUUGUUUAAUUUUUAAAAAAAGUUAAAAAAAAAAUAUGAGAGAAAAAAGUUAUUAUAGAAAAAAAAGAUUAUUUAAUAAAGUUAAAAUAAAAAUAGAGAAGGAGUUAAAUGAUUGCAGUAACUACAAAAAAAGUUUCUAAAA